rnacentral:rRNA from 1 species
UACGUAGGGGGCGAGCGUUGUCCGGAUUUAUUGGGCGUAAAGAGCUCGUAGGCGGUUCGGUAAGUCGGAUGUGAAAUCUCCACGCUCAACGUGGAGGGGCCAUUCGAUACUGCCGUGACUCGAGUCCGGUAGGGGAGUGUGGAAUUCCCGGUGUAGCGGUGAAAUGCGCAGAUAUCGGGAGGAACACCUAUGGCGAAGGCAGCUCGCUGGGACGUUACUGACGCUGAGACGCGAAAGCGUGGGGAGCAAACAGG